UCAUAGGUGGUGCUGUAAGGUUAUGGCAGAUUGAAUUAGCUAUCCACACAGUAUUCACUUUUCAAAUUCUCUAAAGUAAACAACAAGCGACUCUCGGCUAGAUGCCACGCGUCACAAGACUGUAAUUUGCCGUUUCUCGGCCACUUCCCGGCUUUCCCAUAGCCGAAGCCCACGGGUUAAAUGAACACCAACAAAUCAAUGAUAAUAAUAUGCCAUACAAAAAAAAUGGAUUAUUUUCCACAACCACUAUAACUGAUGGUGUAAGAGUUGGCUUGUCCAGCUGCAUUGGGAUGACGCUGGCAUGCUGUUGUGCAAUAUUUUGUAAGGGUUAGCUCACCACACCAAGCACUUAUUAACUCCUAUAAAGUGAGCUUUAUAUUACUCACAUCAUUAUAAAAUUUUACUUUCUAUUUCGGCUAAGGAAGGAUAGAACCUCAGAUAAGAAAAUGGCAGAGUCCUUGAGUGUCAGCACCAAUGAUCCUUCAUGCAUUUAUUUUAAUAUUUCAUAAAUUAUCUUGUUGUUAACAUCGGCAUUUUUCAGGCACCAAUUACACAUUAUACUAGGUAGGAUUCUGAAGUACUUGUAAACAUAUAUAUUAACCCAUUAUGACUGAAACUUACCAGGUGUGUGGUGUAUCUUUCAGGCCACACUAAAUGGUGAAAAUUCCAAGGGUAUAUCUAAUAAUCCUCUACCCAGAGGUUUGGAAGUAACUUUUCUUCACCUACAACAGCCUAUAGUCUUCCAAAUAUGUUGAGGUCGGUCUGGUGUAGGCUCCCGCUGGUCCUUUCUUCCCCUCUGCUCUGUCAACACCUAUCUCUUCCUCUCAUAUGUAAGCUAUAGGUAACAUAUGAGGGGAAAAAAUAGGUGUUGGGACUGUGUGGCAGACCAGAGGGGAGAAAUGGACCCGUGGGAGCCAAUGCCAAAACGGACUCGACAACUUUGUUUCACAUUAGACACCCCUGUCUGCACUCCUCAACCAAGCCUGAUGGAUCAAGCAAAAAAUUAAAUUUGGAGCUGUUUGGCAGUCCCAAGAAGUCUUUGUAACUCCUGCCAGGGGAAAGAUAUUAUUCAUAAGAAAAAAUAUUGGAAUUCCAUGUGUUCCUCAGGAAGCUGAGGUUAAGCAAAGAUGUUAAGUACAUACUCAAUAGCCACAGAGGUGUCCAGAUAUUUUACAUAUGCUCCAUUUCCUCCCUUAAAGAUGUAUCAAACAACAACUGUAAUUAUGGUGACAUGCGGCAUCAAGGGCAGGACCACGUACCAUUCUCCUGGAUAUCCUGUGCUGCCGCUGGUUCACUAUGUCUGCUGCGAUGGCGUUCAGGAGGCUUUGGUAGUUGGUGGUGCGGGAGGCCAGGCCUUGGUUCUCCAGGCGCCGCAGAUUGUGGCUCAGGCGUGUCUUCACCUCAUGCAGACUCACCCUGGCAAAGGCAGAAAGGAAGGAUGGAGAGCGGUUGAGUGCUGCGUGGUUGAGCUUGGCCUGGUGUUCCUGCUGCGCUCGUAUCAGCAUGAUGGCGCGAUACUUUUCCUCAUCAGGGCCUCGCGUUGGGCUGACUACCAGCUCCCCGAUGGCAUUCCCAUC